GGAAACGUGUCUGAAAGUUAAGAAUCUCCUUGAUAGGGAGAACUAUAGGGGUUCAAACCCCCUCAUUUCCU
rnacentral:tRNA from 2 species